AGUCUGACCUGCCCACUGAAAUUAUUUAAAUGGCCGCAGUAUUCUAACUGUGCAAAGGUASCAUAAUCAUUAGUCUUUUAAUUGAAGGCUGGUAUGAACGGUUGGACGAGGUAUAAGCUGUUUCAUAUAAAUUUAUAAUAGAAUUUUAUAUUUUAGUCAAAAAGCUAAAAUUUAAUUAAAAGACGAGAAGACCCUAUAAAUCUUUAUACUUUAUGUUAUUUAAAUUUUUUAGAUUAAUUUUAUUUUUAUAACUUAAAGUAUUUUGUUGGGGUGAUAUUAAAAUUUAAUGAACUUUUAAUUGUUAAAAAUCAUUAAUUUAUGAGUUAUUGAUCCAUUAAUAGUGAUUAUAAGAUUAAGUUACUUUAGGGAUAACAGCGUAAUUUUUUUGGAGAGUUCAUAUCGAUAAAAAAGUUUGCGACCUCSAUGUUGGAUUAAGAUAUAUUUUUAGGUGUAGCCGCUUAAAU
rnacentral:rRNA from 1 species